rnacentral:rRNA from 1 species
UACGGAGGGGGCAAGCGUUGUUCGGAAUUACUGGGCGUAAAGGGCGCGCAGGCGGCUGCUCAAGUCAGGCGUGAAAGGCCUGGGCUCAACCCGGGAAUAGCGCUUGAUACUGUGGGACUUGAGUCCGGGAGAGGAUAGUGGAAUUCCCAGUGUAGAGGUGAAAUUCGUAGAUAUUGGGAAGAACACCAGUGGCGAAGGCGGCUAUCUGGACCGGUACUGACGCUGAGGCGCGAAAGCGUGGGGAGCAAACAGG